GGAAGGAUCAUUAUUGAAAGCACUUGCGAGGCUGUUGCUGGCGCUCUUUUGGAACGCAUGUGCACGCCGAGCACUUGAUUUUAUCCUCUUGUGAACCUGUGUAGGCGAAUUGGACUCGAAUCAGAUCACUGAAAUAUGUGGAGGGGAGUUUGCUCCAUUCGAGCUUUCUCUGUGUUUAGAGUCUCAUUUGUUUACGUUUCUUAUAAACUUAAACCCUGAUAUAUGAACCUGUUAUUUGGUCAUUGUACCAGUAACUAAUUAAUACAACUAUUGGCAACGGAUCUCUUGGCUCACGCAUCGAUGAAGAACGCAGCGAAAUGCGAUAAGUAAUGUGAAUUGCAGAUUUCAGUGAAUCAUCGAAUCUUUGAACGCACCUUGCACCUUUUGGUUAUUCCGAAAGGUAUGCCUGUUUGAGUGUCAUUUUAUUUCUCACAUCGAACUCAAUUUGCUUUGAGGUUCGAAAGUGGAUGUUGGGGGUUGCGGGACUCUUUUAGUUAAGAGAUCGGCUCUCCUGAAAUGCAUUAGUUGACUUUAUCGUAGUUCAAGUGCAUCAGACGUGAUAAUUGUCAUCGUUUGAGUUAUGUCUUGGACAUUAAAUCGAAGUCAGCUUUCUAACUGUCUCUUGACUUGAGACUACUCUUCGGAGUACUAUAAUGACUAUUGUGACCUCAAAUCAGGUAGGACUACCCGCUGAACUUAAGCAUAUCAAUAAGCGGAGGAAAAGAAACUAACAAGGAUUCCCCUAGUAACUGCGAGUGAAGCGGGAUAAGCUCAAAUUUGAAAUCUGGCUGUCUUAUGGCAGUCCGAGUUGUAAUCUAGAGAAGCGUUAUCCUCUUAGGACCGUGCAUAAGUGUUCUGGAAAGGACUAUCGUAGAGGGUGAAAAUCCCGUCUUUGGCACGGACUACCUUGGAAUUGUGAUGCGCUCUCAACGAGUCGAGUUGUUUGGGAAUGCAGCUCAAAAUGGGUGGUAAAUUCCAUCUAAAGCUAAAUAUUGGCGUGAGACCGAUAGCGAACAAGUACCGUGAGGGAAAGAUGAAAAGAACUUUGGAAAGAGAGUUAAACAGUACGUGAAAUUGCCAAUAGGGAAACGGUUGCAGUCAGUCGCGUUUGCUAGGGAUCAGCCUUGAAUUCGUUCUUGGUGCACUUCCUAGUCGACGGGUCAGCAUCAGUUUCGAGAGCUGGAUAAAGGCUAGAGGAAUGUGGCUCUUUCGGGAGUGUUAUAGCCUCUGGUUGUAUACAGCGAUUGGGACUGAGGAACUCAGCUUGCGCCUUCGGGUGUGGGGCUUCGGCUACCUUCAAGCUUAGGAUGCUGGCAUAAUGGCUUUAACCGACCCGUCUUGAAACACGGACCAAGGAGUCUAACAUGCGUGCGAGUCUUUGGGUGUCAAACCCGCAGGCGUAAUGAAAGUGAAAGGUUGAGAAUCCUGUCGUGGGAUGCAUCAACGCCCGGCUCAGAGCUUCUGUGACGAUGCUGCGGUAGAGCAUGUAUGUUGGGACCCGAAAGAUGGUGAACUAUGCCUGAAUAGGGUGAAGCCAGAGGAAACUCUGGUGGAGGCUCGUAGCGAUUCUGACGUGCAAAUCGAUCGUCGAAUUUGGGUAUAGGGGCGAAAGACUAAUCGAACCAUCUAGUAGCUGGUUCCCGC
rnacentral:misc_RNA from 1 species